rnacentral:rRNA from 1 species
CGGAUGACGGGAGCUUGCUCCUUGAUUCAGCGGCGGACGGGUGAGUAAUGCCUAGGAAUCUGCCUGGUAGUGGGGGACAACGUUUCGAAAGGAACGCUAAUACCGCAUACGUCCUACGGGAGAAAGCAGGGGACCUUCGGGCCUUGCGCUAUCAGAUGAGCCUAGGUCGGAUUAGCUAGUUGGUGGGGUAAUGGCUCACCAAGGSGACGAUCCGUAACUGGUCUGAGAGGAUGAUCAGUCACACUGGAACUGAGACACGGUCCAGACUCCUACGGGAGGCAGCAGUGGGGAAUAUUGGACAAUGGGCGAAAGCCUGAUCCAGCCAUGCCGCGUGUGUGAAGAAGGUCUUCGGAUUGUAAAGCACUUUAAGUUGGGAGGAAGGGCAGUAAGUUAAUACCUUGCUGUCUUGACGUUACCGACAGAAU